CGGCAGUCUGUCCAAAAGUAAAAAGUCAUCAGCUUAUCUCAAGGUUCACACAGUCUUCUAGGAACAUCAGAGGACCUGGGCCGUGCUGCUCCUCUGACCCCCUGUGCAACUUUACCGAAGGACAUCCUGAAGACAAACAAUGGCAGAGAACAAAGUUAGUCAGCGGUUCCCAAGCUCCCGUCUGCCGUCACACUCAACACGAACUAUAAUGCCAGGAUGGACAUGACACUAUGCUGACAGCUGAGCAUGUUCUAGAGCGGCGCCCUGC
ensembl:lncRNA